GAUGAAGAACGUAGCGAAAUGCGAUAAGUAGUGUGAAUUGCAGAAUUCAGUGAAUCAUCGAAUCUUUGAACGCACAUUGCGCCCUUUGGUAUUCCUUAGGGCAUGCCUGUCCGAGCGUCAUUUGAAACCUCAAGCUCAGCUUGGUGUUGGGUGUCUGUCCCCGCCUCACCGCGGGGACUCGCCUCAAAAUCAUUGGCGGCCGGUACGUUGGCUUCGAGCGCAGCAGAAACGCGAACUCGAGGCCCGGCGGAUCGGCGACCAGAAGUCACUUCUUCACAGUUUGACCUCGGAUCAGGUAGGGAUACCCGCUGAACUUAAGCAUAUCAAUAAGCGGAGGA
rnacentral:misc_RNA from 1 species